UUAGAGGAAGUAAAAGUCGUAGCAAGGUCUCCGUAGGUGAACCUGCGGAGGGAUCAUUACACAAAUAUGAAGGCGGGCUGGAACCUCUCGGGGUUACAGCCUUGCUGAAUUAUUCACCCUUGUCUUUUGCGUACUUCUUGUUUCCUUGGUGGGUUCGCCCACCACUAGGACAAACAUAAACCUUUUGUAAUUGCAAUCAGCGUCAGUAACAAAUUAAUAAUUACAACUUUCAACAACGGAUCUCUUGGUUCUGGCAUCGAUGAAGAACGCAGCGAAAUGCGAUAAGUAGUGUGAAUUGCAGAAUUCAGUGAAUCAUCGAAUCUUUGAACGCACAUUGCGCCCUUUGGUAUUCCAAAGGGCAUGCCUGUUCGAGCGUCAUUUGUACCCUCAAGCUUUGCUUGGUGUUGGGCGUCUUGUCUCUAGCUUUGCUGGAGACUCGCCUUAAAGUAAUUGGCAGCCGGCCUACUGGUUUCGGAGCGCAGCACAAGUCGCACUCUCUAUCAGCAAAGGUCUAGCAUCCAUUAAGCCUUUUUUUCAACUUUUGACCUCGGAUCAGGUAGGGAUACCCGCUGAACUUAA
rnacentral:rRNA from 1 species